UGUGUGCUGUCCCCACAGGCC
rnacentral:piRNA from 1 species